rnacentral:rRNA from 1 species
CACGUAGGGCGCAAGCGUUGUCCGGAAUUAUUGGGCGUAAAGAGCUCGUAGGCGGUCUGUUGCGUCCGCUGUGAAAACUCGGGGCUUAACCCCGAGCCUGCAGUGGAUACGGGCAGACUAGAGGUAGGUAGGGGAGAAUGGAAUUCCCGGUGUAGCGGUGAAAUGCGCAGAUAUCGGGAAGAACACCCGUGGCGAAGGCGGCUCGCUGGGACGGUACUGACGCUGAGACGCGAAAGCGUGGGGAGCGAACAGG